GUGCUGGCUUUGGCACCACAUAUACUAAAAUUGGAAUGAUACAGAGAAGAUUAGCAUGGCCCCUGCACAAGGAUGACAUGCAAAUUCGUGAAGCGUUCCAUAUUUUU
ensembl:snRNA U6 U6 spliceosomal RNA